ACCUGGCUGGCUCAGUUGGUACAGCGUACGACUCUGGAUCUCAGGGUCAUGAGUUCAAGCCCCAUGUUGGGUG
rfam:Felis catus isolate Cinnamon breed Abyssinian chromosome X, whole genome shotgun sequence.